rnacentral:rRNA from 1 species
CAGAGGGUGCAAGCGUUGUUCGGAAUUAUUGGGCGUAAAGCGCGUGUAGGCGGCUUGUUAAGUCGGGUGUGAAAGCCCUCAGCUCAACUGAGGAAGUGCGCCCGAAACUGGCGAGCUUGAGUGCCGGAGAGGAUGGCGGAAUACCCCAAGUAGAGGUGAAAUUCGUAGAUAUGGGGUGGAACACCGGUGGCGAAGGCGGCCAUCUGGACGGUAACUGACGCUGAGACGCGAAAGCGUGGGUAGCAAACAGGAUUAGAUACCCUGGUAGUCCACGCCGUAAACGAUGAGAACUAGGUGUCGUGGGUGUUGACCCCCGCGGUGCCGCAGCUAACGCAUUAAGUUCUCCGCCUGGGAAUACGGUCGCAAGACUA